rnacentral:rRNA from 1 species
CUACUGGGGUAUCUAAUCCUGUUUGCUCCCCAUGCUUUCGCGCCUCAGCGUCAGUUUCAGCCCAGUAAACCGUUUUCACCACCGAUGUUCCUCCACAUAUCUACGCAUUUCACCGCUACACGUGGAAUUCCGUUUACCCUAACUGUACUCUAGUCAGACAGUUUCAAAUGCAGCUCCGGGGUUGAGCCCCGGAAUUUCACAUCUGACUUAUCUAACCGCCUACGCGCCCUUUACGCCCAGUAAUUCCGAUCAAUGCUUGCACCCUCCGUAUUACCGCGGCUGCUGGCAC